rnacentral:rRNA from 1 species
GAGUUUGAUCCUGGCUCAGGACGAACGCUGGCGGCGUGCCUAAUACAUGCAAGUAGAACGCUGAAGAGAGGAGCUUGCUCUUCUUGGAUGAGUUGCGAACGGGUGAGUAACGCGUAGGUAACCUGCCUUGUAGCGGGGGAUAACUAUUGGAAACGAUAGCUAAUACCGCAUAACAAUAGGUGACACAUGUCAUUUAUUUGAAAGGGGCAAUUGCUCCACUACAAGAUGGACCUGCGUUGUAUUAGCUAGUAGGUGAGGUAACGGCUCACCUAGGCGACGAUACAUAGCCGACCUGAGAGGGUGAUCGGCCACACUGGGACUGAGACACGGCCCAGACUCCUACGGGAGGCAGCAGUAGGGAAUCUUCGGCAAUGGGGGCAACCCUGACCGAGCAACGCCGCGUGAGUGAAGAAGGUUUUCGGAUCGUAAAGCUCUGUUGUAAGUCAAGAACGAGUGUGAGAGUGGAAAGUUCACACUGUGACGGUAGCUUACCAGAAAGGGACGGCUAACUACGUGCCAGCAGCCGCGGUAAUACGUAGGUCCCGAGCGUUGUCCGGAUUUAUUGGGCGUAAAGCGAGCGCAGGCGGUUUGAUAAGUCUGAAGUUAAAGGCUGUGGCUCAACCAUAGUUCGCUUUGGAAACUGUCAAACUUGAGUGCAGAAGGGGAGAGUGGAAUUCCAUGUGUAGCGGUGAAAUGCGUAGAUAUAUGGAGGAACACCGGUGGCGAAAGCGGCUCUCUGGUCUGUAACUGACGC